GCCAGAGUGAGGAGGCAGGGUUUGGGGGCUUUGUAUCCACUGUUCUCCACGCACAGGGAGACAGGCCAGGGAUUCCAUGCUUCCUCCAAGACCUGGCCUGGGCUGCUAGACAGAGGUGGCCAUGAUUAGCAGCUCCAGUUGACCUGGGCAUGUGACUUGGGCAGUGUCUCCCAUUGGGGAAAUGGGAUCUUGGUUCUGGCUCCACGGUCAGGAAAGCUGCCUUCGCCCAGGGUCCCCUUCUUGCCGCUGGGAGGUUCUGCUGGGCCCAGCCUCAGUCCUCACCAUGUUCUUCUUGCUGGAUUGGCAGGGGCCUUCUUAAUGGAUUCUCCUCCAGCUCACAUUCCAUGCUCCAGGUUGUGGGAACAACAGCUUGAAUUACGGAAAGAAGUUUCCCCACUGAGUUAAUCUGCAGUGGCUGGAGGUGACCUUCUGGAGACGGCGAUUAAUCACGGGCCGUGGCGGGCGCCGCGCCACGCCGGGCCCUUUGGGGGAAUACUAAUUCCACUACAAGAUAAAUCAUAAUUUGAC
rnacentral:lncRNA from 1 species